UCUCCUGUAGCUCAGUAGAAGAGCCUCCGACCGGUGUGCGGAAGUGGAAGGUUCGACUCCUGUUGGGGGAA